rnacentral:rRNA from 1 species
UUGGCCAUACCACAUUGAAAACACCGGUUCUCGUCCGAUCACCGAAGUUAGGCAAUGGCGGGCCCGGUCAGUACUUGGGAGGGUGACCACCUGGGAACACCGGGUGCUGUAGGCU